rnacentral:lncRNA from 1 species
GUUUGGGGUUGAACAUUCUCACCAGUAUUUUCAGUCUUCACUCAUAAAGACUACUUGUCAGUCACCUUCCAAAGAAAAAGUAAGUGGCUGCUCCAAGAAUACAUAGGGCCAGACAUCGAUGAUUGGGAAAAUGCUGGGAGACUCUGAGGUCUUUCCAGCCGUGGCGAAGGUUGCUGCCAGUGCUUAUUAAAGCAUCAGUUUCCAGAAAAGGAAUCAUUUAUAACGCAGUUACCUGUGAAAAGUAGGUAACACGUUUCCUGUGAGAACUGAUUAUGGGAGAUUUGGUGGGAUGUUUGGAGGGAGAGGGGUUUUUCUCACCCCUCCUCAUUCGGCAGGACAAACCUGAUUUGGCCACAGUUAUGAAAAGUAUGGAGCAGCCAACUGUGGUCACAAGACAUCACGUACCCAGGAAGGCGAGGCAGUGGGUUUGCCGGAAGAAAAUCAGUUCUGCCAAAGGUAAAGCUUAACUUGUCUUUUGUUCAAAAAGAGGAUCAGAGGAUUAUGUGCUUGCUCAGGGUGCCAACACCGAUCACCAGACUAUAGCAGUCUAGACAGAGCACUGUGACUGCAGACUUUAAACAUUUCGUUUAUUUUCUUUCUAGCCUGUUAAAGGUAAAAUACGUCUCAUUAUUAAAAAUCAAUUAUGUUGUUGGAAGAAUGAAAGCCAUCAAAGGUAUCUUGCUCUGCCACCUAGUGGUGAGGUUUCACCUGCCUGUUACAGAGAUGAGACAGAUGCUUGCUGGCUGUCCAGGCCAGCUCCAGAAACACGGCGCGGACAAUCAGCUGGUCAAGCCUCUUUCUGGAGCAUUUGCCAGUUUCCAUGGUGUAAAUGCUCCCACGUGGCCAAUUUCAGACAAUAGAGUGAUGUCACACCGGAGUUGGGAAGAAAUGCACAGUAGCACGGCAUUAUAUUUCCACCAAAAGGAUACAAUAAAGGGAAAUAACCCCAAGAGCAUAAUCACAUGUACAGUUGAUCUUCAUCAUUUGGGGAGUCCAUAUUUGCAAACCUGCGCACUUAACUAAAACUUAUUUGUAACCCCGAAAUCAAGCCUUGAAGUGCUCUUGAGGUCAUUCACAGACAUGCAGAGCGUUAAGUUUGAGAAUACAUGUAUUAGAUGAGCGUUGUUCAUGUGUGAGUCAUAGGGCUGUUGGCUGUGAGUUCAACAUUAAUGUAUCAACAAUAUGUAUUAAGUAAGAUGUACCCGGAGAGAAACAUACAUCAAACAAGAUGAUGUUUUGAUCGUGGAUGAAAUGUGACCAGGGACUCUCAGAAUCCCAACCCUGAAUUUCCCCUGAUUACAGUGGUUCUAAUAGUGUACUCACAAAUUCAGGGUUCAGGGUAACUUUACAGAACAUGACUACUACUAAUUAGGGAGUGGACUGUAGUAAAUAAUAAGGAAAUAAUGUGCUUCAAGUGAUUAGUAACCUUGUUUUUUAUAUCAUUUUAAUUAAGUUGUUUUAUGUUUUUUAAUUAAAUUAUUUGUAAAUUAAGUAUAGUUUUUAAGAAUGGCUUUGUCUGAGGAUGCCUAGGUGGGUAAGUGGGUUAGGCGUCUGUGUUCGGCUCAGGUCAUGAUCCCGGGGUUCUAGGAUCGAGUCCCAUGUCAGGAUCUUUGCUUGGCAGGAAGGGUGCUUCUCCCUUUGCCUGCUGCUCCCCCCCGUUUGUGCUCACUCUCUCUCUGACAAAUAAAUAAAAACUUUAAAAAAAAAAAAAAAAAAAAAAAGAAUGGCUUUGUCUAACAACUGGCUUGCAAAAUUCCUGACAUUUCAAGUCCUCUCUGUACCCCAGCAUGCCACUAGCUAGAAGGUGGCAGCAUAUGAACAAAGUCUUUCUGACUCCAUCACCUGGUCUCUUACUUUUUCAAAGCUCACAUAGAACCCCUACUUAGGACAAAAACAAAACAAAACAAAACAAAAAAACUAGGUGCAAUUGCUUUCCAGGCUUUAGUCUAAUUUAGCGUAAGAUGAGUCGCCUUCGCUAGGAAAAGGACCACAUUCUUUAUCCAGGGGUCAGUCCCUGCAGACUUGGGAGGAAUUUAUGAAAGAGGGUGCCCUAAACCAUCCCAGGAGAUACACAACACCAUUUAAAUAACAGAGACCCUGUGCCUUUGAAACCUUAUUUAGUAUAAAUUAGC